CGUGUAUUUCAUCUGUGGAGGUAUUUAAUUCACUUAUAGAGUAGGUGCAGAUGUUGCAUGAUUAAAAUCAUGUUCCUUUUUCUCUCUUAGGGAGGAGGAUGGUGCAACAAUGUUACGACUUGCCUCUCAUGAAAAGAAAACCAUUUGGGUUCAUCCAAGAAGACUGGGUUUGAUGUCUACUUCUCCAUGGCUAGGGGGAAUGCCACUUUGCCUGCUAUGGAAAUGACCAAGUGCUUCGACAUCAGCUAGUUCUGGACCGUGGUGAGAAGAUUGAGCUUCUGGUAGACAAAACAGAGAACCGCCGCUCACAGGUGGUGAACCUCAAUAUCAUUGAGGGCUUGAACCUGCUGAAGGACUCCGAAAUACUGGUGCUGAUGCCUUUUACUGCUAGAUAGCUCACCAAAGAUCGACAGAAGAAACGAGUCCCUUGGAAACAAUGGCAAUCAUGGGCAACAAGGAGAUCAUUGACAUUAACCAAGGUAUGUUAGCUGCUUAGACUGGU